UACGGGGGGGGCAAGCGUUGUCCGGAUUUACUGGGCGUAAAGGGCGUGCAGGCGGUCUGUUAAGUCUAGGGUGAAAGCUCCCGGCUCAACUGGGAGAGGUCCUUGGAUACUGGCGGACUUGAGGGAUGCAGAGGAAAGUGGAAUUCCCGGUGUAGUGGUGAUAUGCGUAGAUAUCGGGAGGAACACCAGUGGCGAAGGCGGCUUUCUGGGCAUUUCCUGACGCUGAGACGCGAAAGCGUGGGGAGCGAACCGG
rnacentral:rRNA from 1 species